rnacentral:rRNA from 1 species
UACAGAGGGUGCGAGCGUUAAUCGGAUUUACUGGGCGUAAAGGGCGCGUAGGUUGUUGCGUAAGUGAGAUGUGAAAGCCCCGGGCUUAACCUGGGAACUGCAUCUUAUACUGCGUAACUGGAGUGCAAUAGAGGGUAGUGGAAUUUCCGGUGUAGCGGUGAAAUGCGUAGAUAUCGGAAGGAACACCAGUGGCGAAGGCGGCUACCUGGAUUGACACUGACACUGAGGCGCGAGAGCGUGGGGAGCAAACAGG